rnacentral:rRNA from 1 species
UGUGUAGCGGUGAAAUGCGUAGAUAUAUGGAAGAACACCAGUGGCGAAGGCGGCUGGCUGGUCUGAAACUGACGCUGAGGCUCGAAAGCUUGGGUAGCGAACGGGAUUAGAUACCCUGGUAGUCCAUGCCGUAAACGAUGAAUGCUAGGUGUUGUGAGGGUCGACCCGUGCAGUGCUGUAGCUAACGCGUUAAGUAUCCCGC